UAAAUUAGUGAACAGCAAUUUCCGUUCUCCCAUCAUGGCGACUUAUACUAACAAGUGUGACCUCAUGUUCUGUGAACUUGUGAAAAUUAAUUCUAAAAGUUUUGAAUUUGACUGUAAUAUUGGCUAUAAACAAGAAAAAUAUCUCGGAACUCAUUGCAACCUUAUCUGUUUUAAACGAAAAAGCCAGAGCUGGCCAGAGCAUGGAGACUUAAAGAUAGUUUAUCAGUCUUAGAAAGAGUGUCAAAGUUAACUAAUGUAUUGUUUAUCAUUAAGAUUUGGAGAUUAAUUGAUGGAUCCACAAUAGAAAGCAUUGUUCCAAAUUGUGGCGCUAAAGAAGAUUAAAUGAGGCAAAUACCCAAUUGAGAUUUUUGUUGCUGGACUAACAAGUCAAAUGAUGAUCACUGCCUUCCAUAUUUGCAAUAACCUCACUUUUGCAAGUAACCAACCAUUAAAAUGAGUAAAUAACCCCCCAUAGAGGUACACCCCUGUUCCAAUGGAAGAUAUCUGUAACCACACCUGGUCACCCUUCAUCAGAUGGAGUGUUGACUGAAGGGAAAACGUCUCAUAUUGGUAUUCGGUACUCAUUUCAUCAGCAUAGCCGUACGCGAUGGGAUUGUCAUUCAUAUAAAGGCUUAUGGUAAAGACGAGUCUGCUUGUUGAUUCUGAAAUGUAGGCCGUUCCUGAUAGGCAGAAAAAGUAGCUUCCCGUUACCGGAGCCGUGAAAAUUCCCGACGUCAGGUUCAUGGCUCCACCCACAUUGAGCCUCUCAACUUGAAAAGGAAUGGGGGUGUUUAUCUGUGUGAAAGAUGAGCUUCUUUGCACGUAGAAAGCCGUUGACACUGAUUUGAUUUCUGCUUGUACCAGAUUCGCUAGAUGGUUUCGUAAAAUCGCAGUAGACGCUGUUCAUCUUCCCAACGCCCAUAACAGAGUAGAAUCCGUUUAGGUCGUAUCCCAUAACCUGUAGAUCAGCACAAGAGGCUGGCAUUGCGCUGACUGCCCUUGAUUUAUUAUCGUUAUCGCCAUUGACGACUGAUUGACAAUGUGAUCGUGGUUUUGCGUUUUGUAGCGCAUCUAGAAGCAGUUGUUGUUGCUGUACUUUGGCCUCCAGUUCAAAAACUUUGGAUGUCAAAGCUUCUCGAAUUUCAUCCUGAUAGGAAUAGUGACUUAACGAAUAGGUGAAAUGGAAAGAAUAAACUUUCUUACAUGGUUGCCAGUUGCUUGUUGCAGCUGUUUGUUCCAGGAAAAUCCAUUGGUUGAAGACAUUUUAGAAGCGCACAAUAGGAAAACGAACAUGGAAUAUAAGUAACGAGCCAUUGCGUAGCCUAGGACGUAUACUGAUUUCUUUUCGACGGCUGCAUCACCGAUUUAUGACACAACCCGAACGUGUCAAAUAUUUGCUGAUAACUUGACGGGUUCAAAAGUCAUCGACACUUGGAUGCUAGUCAACACACUUGUGUAAAUAUUUCAGUACAGGACUAAUCAUGUACGUCGGAGUGGAUUGAGAUUCGUCUAAUUGUAAGAAAGAAACGAGCUCAUGCUGUCAUCAACUCUAACAACAUCCUGGUCCACAUCUCAAAUUUGAUGUUGACGGAUUCGUUGAGUGUUAUUGACAGUUCAAUGCGUGUUCUGCAGCCCUUUGUAAAAGAAUAGAAAAUUGAAAUGGAAACACGGAGACGACAAUGAUCCACCUCAAGUUUCCAGCAAUCGUCCGAACAACUUUGACUUGAUUCCUACGCUUCCGUUGGGCUACAAACAAACACUUAUUUCUACUAGAGACUUGCAGGCCAGCAAUCUCAAAUCCUCAAGAAGGACCCCGCAUUAAGGUAGUCUGUCAAUUACUUCUUUAUGUUUAUUGAAGUCUAGGCAACUGUUUCACACAUGUGAUUGAUGAUGAGUUGUGUACCAAUGGCUAUUGCAGUCAUUCCUGGAUGUACGUAAUCGUUGCAAUUCAUGUAACCUCGAUCCAUCCAUUUGUCGAUUAAGACUUGAUCGAAAUCGUGGCGAGUGUAGGCGGUUAAGGCGCACGCACGCAGAUAUUCCUCGACAAUGGCGAUGAUGGUAUCCCAUAGUAUUAUGUUCGUACUCCUGUUUAAUUCAAGAUUUUAAGGCGGUUGAGGCAGAUAAGCUACUCUUGACUCGAUCAUUACUUGAGGAUGCGCUCGAUGGCUUCAUUGUACACGGUAACCGUUUCCGUAUAAAAACCUCCAUACAAUUGAUAGAAUUGAUCUAUUGAAGUAUGAAGACGCAGCCAGACAACUCUUUGAUGCCGAUGGAUGGCUAGACUCUUAUUAAUCAGUGGCACUAGACUCGUUUCUAGUAAUUCCUUGAAUGUGAUAAGGUCGUUUUCUAGAAGAUGAUGAACUGUCAGGCCU